rnacentral:misc_RNA from 1 species
AAGUCGUAACAAGGUUUCCGUAGGUGAACCUACAGAAGAAUCAUUACAAGAAACGAGGCUACGUGCCCCGCUCUUUACCUUGCCUACUACACUAUCUGUUACUUCCUAGCGGUGGUUUGCCUGCCGCCAGGGACAUUAUAAAGCCCUGCAUAAGCAUUAAAAAACUGAAACAAACCGAAUCGUACAACUUUCAACAAUGGAUCUCUUGGUUCUA